GUUAAAACACCGCUUCCCGUACGAUCACCGAAGUUAAGCAACGUCGAGCCUGGUUAGUAGCUAGAUGGGUAACCGCUUGAAAAUAUCAAGUGGAUG